UACGGAGGGUGCAAGCGUUGUCCGGAUUUAUUGGGUUUAAAGGGUGCGUAGGCGGCUAUUUAAGUCAGUGGUGAAAUCCUGCAGCUCAACUGUAGAAUUGCCAUUGAUACUGAAUAGCUUGAAUAGAGUCGAGGUAGGCGGAAUUGACGGUGUAGCGGUGAAAUGCAUAGAUAUCGUCAAGAACCCCGAUUGCGAAGGCAGCUUACUAGACUGUAAUUGACGCUGAGGCACGAAAGCGUGGGGAUCAAACAGG
rnacentral:rRNA from 1 species